ensembl:lncRNA
AUGCAGUCUUAGCGACCCGUAGAGACUUAUUUUAAGUACAUUAUUUUUAAUAAUGUGUAACAUACAGGUAACAAAGAGAACUCAGAAGAGAACUCAGGGGUGAGAAAAAAAAAACAAAACAACGGUAACUAAUUAGAAGUACAAAACGAGGCUUUUUAUUUAAAAUCUUUUGGACUAAAGCAAUGCAACACCCGCUGACUGCAAUGUUAGAGCUUGAAAGAUCAAAGACUAUUUUUAAUAUAACUCUGACUGGAUUCGUCUGAAAAAAGAAAGUCAUAUACACCUAGGAUGCCCCGGGGGUGAGUAAAACGGCCUAAUUUUCAUUUUUGGGUGAACUAACCCUUUAAGUCACUAUCCCUAUGGAUUUUAAAUGCUUUGCAUCUUUUCCAUUUGCAAGUAAUAUAUUCCCACCUGUGCAUUUACAGAUCCCCCUCUAAUCAUCAUAUAUUUUACAGGUAACAAACCAAAAGAUGAGGACAGUAGCUUUGCCAUGUCAGUUGUGGUAAAUACAGAAACAUUCUUCAUGAAGAUGUGUGAGAGAAGCUUGCAAGGCAAGAUGAGAAAAAAAUUGAAGGUAUUUUUUUUUCUGACUUUCCUGCCUCUUUGGAACAUUUCCGUUCACACUGUGGAGAGAUGGUGUGCAGCUUCAUGACAUGUGAAGUUUACUGCCGAUGGAUAGCUUCUGGGACAUUGACAGACAGCACCGCCCAGCAAGUUCAUUUGGAGUUCUUUUUGUAAUGAAUUAAUGAAUUUAUUUUAGUCAAAUUUGCAUUCCCUGUUGGAGUAAGUAUGCUGGAGUAAGAUUUUAGAAGAAAACUUUCGGUCCUGUUUAAUGCUGGUGCUAGUAAAGAUUUGAGAACUAAUGGCCUGGUUUCACAGACAGGGCUUAGACUAAGCCAGGAUCAUAGUUCAAUAAGGACAUUUAAGUCAAAACAUUACUGGUGUCCAUCCUGAGACAAAACAAAGGCACUGAUAUUUUUAAAGAUUAGUCAAUGCAAAUUUCUCUCAGUUGAAAUGUAGAAUUACAUUUUAGUCCGGGGCUAGGCUUAAGCCUUGUCUGUGAAACCAGGGCUACAGGUAACACAGUUUGGUAAUGUUUUACAAUAAGGUCUCAUUUUUUGUACAUGGAAUGAUAAUUUUCUUGAAAUUGUUUUUGUAUUAAGUGUGUGUGUGUGUGUGUGUGUGUGUGUGUGUGUGUGUUUUAGUAAUCCUAUACGUUAUGGAGAACAAAUGACUCCACAUGGAUAGUAAUACCAGUAAAUUUUGACAUUUUGAGGUCCCCAAUGAGGUUUAUACAUCAAACAGAAUGAGGUUUUCUGUGAUGGUGAGAUUAGAUACUUUUGUAUGCAAGUAUGUAAGUGACAUAUGUGUUGUGUAGGUGGUUAACUUGUUGUAACUGUGUACAGUGUUGGGUUUUUCUUGUGCAUCAGCAAAAAGUGUUUUGUGUAUUGGUUUUAGAGAUUGUUUUGUCAGUAAAUAGAGGGUUUUGCAUUUUGUUUGUGUUGAUUGUAACUAGGUAAUUAAGAGAUAUUUUUUAUUAAAAAAAAUUAAAAAUACUAAAUUUCAACUUCAUUGCCAGAGAUAUGACAUAUAUUUUAGUUCACAUUAAUUGCUUAUUCAGAAGUACAUAUUUACCAUAUUUCAAAGUGCAU